rnacentral:rRNA from 1 species
UUAAGCGACUAAGCGUACACGGUGGAUGCCCUGGCAGUCAGAGGCGAUGAAGGACGUGCUAAUCUGCGAAAAGCGCCGGCGAGGUGAUAUGAACCUUUGACCCGGCGAUGUCCGAAUGGGGAAACCCAGUGUGAUUCGUCACACUAUCGUUAACUGAAUACAUAGGUUAACGAGGCGAACCGGGGGAACUGAAACAUCUAAGUACCCCGAGGAAAAGAAAUCAACCGAGAUUCCCCCAGUAGCGGCGAGCGAACGGGGAGCAGCCCAGAGUCUGAAUCAGCUUGUGUGUUAGUGGAAGCGUCUGGAAAGUCGCACGGUACAGGGUGACAGUCCCGUACACGAAAGCACACAGGUUGUGAACUCGAAGAGUAGGGCGGGACACGUGGUAUCCUGUCUGAAUAUGGGGGGACCAUCCUCCAAGGCUAAAUACUCCUGACUGACCGAUAGUGAACCAGUACCGUGAGGGAAAGGCGAAAAGAACCCCGGCGAGGGGAGUGAAAAAGAACCUGAAACCGUGUACGUACAAGCAGUGGGAGCACCUUCGUGGUGUGACUGCGUACCUUUUGUAUAAUGGGUCAGCGACUUAUAUUCUGUAGCAAGGUUAACCGUAUAGGGGAGCCGAAGGGAAACCGAGUCUUAACUGGGCGUUAAGUUGCAGGGUAUAGACCCGAAACCCGGUGAUCUAGCCAUGGGCAGGUUGAAGGUUGGGUAACACUAACUGGAGGACCGAACCGACUAAUGUUGAAAAAUUAGCGGAUGACUUGUGGCUGGGGGUGAAAGGCCAAUCAAACCGGGAGAUAGCUGGUUCUCCCCGAAAGCUAUUUAGGUAGCGCCUCGUGAACUCAUCUUCGGGGGUAGAGCACUGUUUCGGCUAGGGGGCCAUCCCGGCUUACCAACCCGAUGCAAACUACGAAUACCGAAGAAUGUUAUCACGGGAGACACACGGCGGGUGCUAACGUCCGUCGUGAAGAGGGAAACAACCCAGACCGCCAGCUAAGGUCCCAAAGUCAUGGUUAAGUGGGAAACGAUGUGGGAAGGCACAGACAGCCAGGAUGUUGGCUUAGAAGCAGCCAUCAUUUAAAGAAAGCGUAAUAGCUCACUGGUCGAGUCGGCCUGCGCGGAAGAUGUAACGGGGCUAAACCAUGCACCGAAGCUGCGGCAGCGACACUAUGUGUUGUUGGGUAGGGGAGCGUUCUGUAAGCCGUUGAAGGUGUGCUGUGAGGCAUGCUGGAGGUAUCAGAAGUGCGAAUGCUGACAUAAGUAACGAUAAAGCGGGUGAAAAGCCCGCUCGCCGGAAGACCAAGGGUUCCUGUCCAACGUUAAUCGGGGCAGGGUGAGUCGACCCCUAAGGCGAGGCCGAAAGGCGUAGUCGAUGGGAAACAGGUUAAUAUUCCUGUACUUGGUGUUACUGCGAAGGGGGGACGGAGAAGGCUAUGUUAGCCGGGCGACGGUUGUCCCGGUUUAAGCAUGUAGGCGGAGGUUCCAGGUAAAUCCGGUACCUUAUUAACGCUGAGGUGUGAUGACGAGGCACUACGGUGCUGAAGUAACAAAUGCCCUGCUUCCAGGAAAAGCCUCUAAGCAUCAGGUAACAUCAAAUCGUACCCCAAACCGACACAGGUGGUCAGGUAGAGAAUACCAAGGCGCUUGAGAGAACUCGGGUGAAGGAACUAGGCAAAAUGGUGCCGUAACUUCGGGAGAAGGCACGCUGAUAUGUAGGUGAAGCCCCUGCGGGUGGAGCUGAAAUCAGUCGAAGAUACCAGCUGGCUGCAACUGUUUAUUAAAAACACAGCACUGUGCAAACACGAAAGUGGACGUAUACGGUGUGACGCCUGCCCGGUGCCGGAAGGUUAAUUGAUGGGGUUAGCGGUAACGCGAAGCUCUUGAUCGAAGCCCCGGUAAACGGCGGCCGUAACUAUAACGGUCCUAAGGUAGCGAAAUUCCUUGUCGGGUAAGUUCCGACCUGCACGAAUGGCGUAAUGAUGGCCAGGCUGUCUCCACCCGAGACUCAGUGAAAUUGAACUCGCUGUGAAGAUGCAGUGUACCCGCGGCAAGACGGAAAGACCCCGUGAACCUUUACUAUAGCUUGACACUGAACACUGGUCCUUGAUGUGUAGGAUAGGUGGGAGGCUUUGAAGUGUGGACGCCAGUCUGCAUGGAGCCGUCCUUGAAAUACCACCCUUUAAUGGCUGGUGUUCUAACGUAGACCCGUGAUCCGGGUUGCGGACAGUGUCUGGUGGGUAGUUUGACUGGGGCGGUCUCCUCCCAAAGAGUAACGGAGGAGCACGAAGGUUAGCUAAUCCUGGUCGGACAUCAGGAGGUUAGUGCAAUGGCAUAAGCUAGCUUGACUGCGAGAGUGACGGCUCGAGCAGGUGCGAAAGCAGGUCAUAGUGAUCCGGUGGUUCUGAAUGGAAGGGCCAUCGCUCAACGGAUAAAAGGUACUCCGGGGAUAACAGGCUGAUACCGCCCAAGAGUUCAUAUCGACGGCGGUGUUUGGCACCUCGAUGUCGGCUCAUCACAUCCUGGGGCUGAAGUAGGUCCCAAGGGUAUGGCUGUUCGCCAUUUAAAGUGGUACGCGAGCUGGGUUUAGAACGUCGUGAGACAGUUCGGUCCCUAUCUGCCGUGGGCGCUGGAGAAUUGAGGGGGGCUGCUCCUAGUACGAGAGGACCGGAGUGGACGCAUCACUGGUGUUCGGGUUGUCAUGCCAAUGGCACUGCCCGGUAGCUAAAUGCGGAAAAGAUAAGUGCUGAAAGCAUCUAAGCACGAAACUUGCCCCGAGAUGAGUUCUCCCUGAGACUUUAAGUCUCCUGAAGGAACGUUGAAGACGACGACGUUGAUAGGUCGGGUGUGUAAGCGCAGCGAUGCGUUGAGCUAACCGAUACUAAUGAACCGUGAGGCUUAACCUU